GCGGUUGUAUGGUACUCUGGACGGAGCUGGUGAAGGAAACGCAGCUAUGAUAGAUCUCUCGUUGUUGUAUAGGCUGUAUAGAGCAAUAUAGGCGAAAGAGAACGCAACCGAUUCCUGUUUAUCAAUGAAUGAACACUCUCUGGUCAAGCAGGUGUCUCUGGAUAACGUUCUUUUUUGGAGAUUUCGACGGAGCUGGUGAAGGAAACGCAGCUAUGAUAGAUCUCUCGUUGUUACAUAGGCUGUAUAGAGCAAUAUAGGCGAAAGAGAACGCAACCGAUUCCUGUUUAUCAAUGAAUGAACACUCUCUGGUGAAGCAGGUGUCUCUCGAUAGAGAAUUAGCAGCCUGAUGUCGCGGGUCUGUCGAGAGCAGACUCCUUCAGGCGACACACAGCUUGCUGAGCUGCUGUGCCCAAACGGCAUUUCUGUAGGGCAUUGCGAGCUUAGUGCCUCCCAGUGCUGGGCUUGGGUCGGAACAACGCCGGUUCUUGCCUCGAACAGCGUCGCUUUCGGGGUACACUGCACCAGAGUUUCCCAGCGAACGCGCGGCAGAGUCCCAGCUGCUUCUGGCGCGUGUGCUCGUACAGCGCAGCGUCAUCGCACUUGGUCCAACUCGCAAAGCAAUCCGUCCUAGCGGACUGCUAUGCAGCCACUGCGGUGUUUCCAGCUGCGUUUGGUGUGCGAAACAGACGGCAAUAGGUCCAGCAUGCACUGCACUGCCAUGAUGCCAACGAAACAGCUCCCUGAAGUAGACAGGGAGACUCGCGAUCUAGUUCCGGUGCCGUGAACGUUAUCUACGCUGCAUAUGGUACUGGCGUUGCGCGUUUGUUGCACAAGCGCCGAGUCGCCACAGAAGCAAAGGUCGCGUUUCAUACUCGGUUGAACAGAUCAAGGCAAAGCUGGGUGUUUCCGUGGUUCGAUGCGCAUACGCUCGUUCCCAGUAAGUACGCAAACUGCCGAAUAGCGAGCGUUGAGCGCGUGGCACCCUCUUGCCGCGAAUCACACAUUUGAUGAGGCAUUGCACCAUGCAGCACCGGACAGCGCGUCGAGCGCACAUGUUUGUAUCCUAGCGUCCGUUGAAAAAAACGACCAUACCAGAGAUAUCAUAUAGGCAAGUGUGUGCUCACGCAUGCUCCCGUGCAGCGUCUCCAGGCGGUGGCAGCAGCGGCGCUUUGGCGGCACUCGUGGAAAGCAGCGCGGCAACCACGGUCACGUUGUCUUGAGUCUCUCGCUGUAAUGCCUCCGUAACCAGGCGGCGUGCCAACAGACCAGGGACCUGCACAGUGCCUCGGAUGAUUUUCGCUACUUCACCGACAUCCAUGACAUCCCAGAGACCGUCGGUGGCAAGGAUCAGGAUAUAUUCUCGAUCGGGCUGCAAAUGCUGGAUGUAGAGCUCAGGUUCCGCAGUCAAAUAGCGUUUGAGCGCAAUGUCCCCGAUCGCACGCGUAACCAGCGUAAGACCCUCAACUCGAAGCGUACCAGCGCUAUCUGCAAGGACCCGUGCGCCUUGUUCUUGAAGACGUGCACGUUCCUGUGAAGACGCUGUACAAGUUUGAUCUAAAGUGACGAGGAUAGGCACCAAGGCCGUAUCGGGUUGCACUUCAAAGAGCACCGCCCUGGAGUCCCCGAUAUUUGCCACAUAUAACGUGCCGCUGUGCACCAUCGCCACAAGUGCCGUGCUGCCAACAAGUCCUCGCUUCCCGAGGGCCUGUGAUGCGUCGUGCUGGGCGCACCACAGCGACCAGCACAUAUCCACGAAACAGAGAAGCUCGCGCAGCACUUGUUCGGGGCGCAUUUGCGGGUUACGACCCAGCAGCCUCUGGAGAGCAUCUGGAAUCAGAGCCGCCGUAAAGUCAGCUGC